CCUACGGGUGGCAGCAGUGGGGAAUAUUGCGCAAUGGGCGAAAGCCUGACGCAGCGACGCCGCGUGAGGGAUGAAGGUCUUCGGAUCGUAAACCUCUGUCAGCAGGGAAGAACGGUCACUGUGCUAAUCAGCAGUGCAUUGACGGUACCUGCAAAGGAAGCACCGGCUAACUCCGUGCCAGCAGCCGCGGUAAUACGGAGGGUGCAAGCGUUAAUCGGAAUUACUGGGCGUAAAGCGCUCGUAGGCGGUAUGUCAAGCCAAGGGUGAAAUCCCAGCGCUGAACGUGGGAACUGCCUUUGAAACUGGCAAACUGGAGGGUGGGAGAGGAUAGUGGAAUUCCAGGUGGAGGAGUGAAAUCCGUAGAUAUUUGGAGGAACAGCAGUGGCGAAGGCGACUAUCUGGCACAUAACUGACGCUGAGGAGCGAAAGCGUGGGUAGCAAACAGGAUUAGAUACCCUGGUAGUC
rnacentral:rRNA from 1 species